rfam:Apis mellifera strain DH4 linkage group 8, whole genome shotgun sequence.
AUCGCUUCUCGGCCUGAUGGCUAAGAUCAAAGUGUAGUAUCUGUUCUUAUCAGCUUAAUAUCUGGUACACUCCCCACCGGGAGUCAGAAUAUUAGUCUGAUUUUUGGAACCGGGCGGAACCCCGGGGCUUGCUCCGCUUCUGCCGCGAGUCGGCUCGGCAUUGCAGUGCCGUCGAGAUCGGCUCAAUAAGU